rnacentral:rRNA from 1 species
GCCAUGCGAGCCGAGGGUGGUUUAUCCGCCCGGCGAACUGCUCAGUAACACGUAGUCAACCUGCCCUCAGGAUGGGAAUAACCCCGGGAAACUGGGACUAAUUCCCAAUAGGAAAGAGGUACUGGAAUGUUCUCUUCCUGAAACGUUCCGACGCCUGAGGAUGGGACUGCAGUGGAUUAGGUCGUUGGGGGUGUAACGGACCUCCAAGCCGAUAAUCCAUACGGGCGUUGAGAGACGGAGCCCGGAGAUGAACUCUGAGACACGAGUUCAGGCCCUACGGGGCGCAGCAGGCGCGAAACUUUUACAAUGCGUGAGAGCGCGAUAAAGGGAUCCCGAGUGCUCUGGCAUAGCCAGGGCUUUUCUGAGGUGUAAAGAGCUCCAGGAACAAGGGGUGGGAAAAACGGGUGCCAGCCGCCGCGGUAAUACCCGUGCCCCAAGUGGUGACCACUAUUAUUGGGCCUAAAGCGUCCGUAGCCGGCCGGAUGGGCCCUCGGUGAAAUCCUGCGCUAGAACGUAGGGGCUUGGCCGGGGAAACUAUUCGGCUUGGGACCGGGAGAGGUCGGGGCUACUCCUGGGGUAGCGGUAAAAUGCUGUAAUCCUAGGAGGAGCGCCUUGUUGGCGAAAGCGCCCGGCUGGAACGGCUCCGACGGUGAGGGGACGAAAAGCUAGGGGAGCAAAGCGGAUUAGAUACCCGCGUAGUCCUAGCUGUUAACAUUGCCCGUUUGUGUAGCGUCUCCCCACGUGGAGGCGCUGUUGCCGUAGCGUAGGUGUUAAACCGGCCGCCUGGGGAGUACGUCCGCAAGGAUGAAACUUAAGGGAAU